UCAAUCUCUGCACCAAAAAUCCUAAAAAUACAUUAGAACUUCACUGAAAAAGUUGUUUUUUUUUUUGCAUUACUUGGACGGUUUUUCUGGGUUUUCUUUGAGAAUUUUAAAAGGCUUUCCAUGGAUUUUCUAGGCUUCUGAGCUAAAAUUUGGCUGGUUUGAAACUGUUUUGCUUGGAGCUUCAUCACUGAUCCUUGUUGUUGUGUUGAGUCAUUGUUGCUAAGUUUCCUUUAUAUUACGUUGGCUAUUUUUCCUAUAGUUACUUUGUCAAGGUACUCUUUCCAGUUCAUUUCUCGUGUAGUGGUUUUCUUUAUAUGAAAUGGAAAAAUUUGUUAAAAGAAUGGAUUUUAUAUGAAUAUUGGUGAGCUAGUAUAGAUCUGAUUCAAAUUUCUUUUGAAAAUCAAUGUGACUCUUGUUAUAUAGGUGGGUUAAUCAUCUGUGAUUUCUUUUCUUCCCAUUGUUUAAGUUUAAAAUUUUCUUUCAAGUUGUAGACUAGACUGUGAAGGGCCCAGCAUGUUUAAAGUAACCUAUAGGGGUCCAUGUGAGGGUUGAAACCUGCUCUCAUUUUAUUGUUUUAUUAUUUAAUAUGGUAGACUAAUAAGUGAAAUAUGUGAGAUAGUAUUAAAGGGAGUUGGACAUGUUUUGGUUACGCUUUCCUUAUGUGAUUGAAACAAAUGAGGGGUUAUAACUGUACUAAAUUUUGUUCUGUCAGCCUGCUGCAAAAAUGAAUCUAAUGCAUAUUUGCAAGUCAGCUCUAUAUUUGCUCUUGCAAAUCCAAGCACGUCUGGAAUCACAAAAUCCCUUAGGAUGGAAGUUAUGGGUUAGAUUAGUCAAGGGCGAGCUUUUAAUUUGAACAUAAUUUUUUAUAGAUUAAGGCGGCAUCCAUGACCCUCAUCUGAUAAUGUCCAUUUCAUUGAAGAAGUAUUAGGCAUGUUCCUAAUAAAAGUUUAUUUGGUUUGGUAGC
rnacentral:lncRNA from 1 species